rnacentral:rRNA from 1 species
UACGUAGGGGGGCAAGCGUUGUCCGGAUUUAUUGGGCGUAAAGAGCGUGUAGGCGGUCAGAUAGGUCCGUUGUGAAAACUCGAGGCUCAACCUCGAGACGCCGAUGGAAACCAUCUGACUAGAGUCCGGAAGAGGAGAGUGGAAUUCCUGGUGUAGCGGUGAAAUGCGCAGAUAUCAGGAAGAACACCCGUGGCUAAGGCGGCUCUCUAGUACGGUACUGACGCUGAGACGCGAAAAGCGUGGGGGAGCGAACAGG